GGGCGGUCACCAGAAGGUCCACAGAGACGUUUAAACAUGGUUAAUGAAUGAAAGAGGAAAAAAAUUUAAAUAUAGCUUGUGACAGGGGUUUUAAAUGUUAGGUCUACAGCUUCUUUGGGUUCAUAGGAGCAAUUUAAACAGAGCAAACAAAGUAGCCGGCUCCCAUGGGAUUCAAAUCAAAAUAGAAAAGUGGGUCUUUUGGUGGUUUAAAUAGUCCAGGGGCUA
rnacentral:lncRNA from 1 species